rnacentral:rRNA from 1 species
GUAGGUGGCAAGCGUUGUCCGGGAAUUAUUGGGGCGUAAAGCGCGCGCAGGCGGUUCUUUAAGUCUGAUGUGAAAGCCCACGGCUCAACCGUGGAGGGUCAUUGGAAACUGGAGAACUUGAGUACAGAAGAGGAAAGCGGAAUUCCACGUGUAGCGGUGAAAUGCGUAGAGAUGUGGAGGAACACCAGUGGCGAAGGCGGCUUUCUGGUCUGUAACUGACGCUGAGGCGUGAAAGCGUGGGGAGCAAACAGGAUUAGAUACCCUGGUAGUCCACGCCGUAAACGAUGAGUGCUAAGUGUUAGGGGGUUUCCGCCCCUUAGUGCUGCAGCUAACGCAUUAAGCACUCCGCCUGGGGAGUACGGCCGCAAAGGCUG